rnacentral:snRNA from 1 species
GUGCUCACUUUGGCAGCACACAUAGUAAAACUGGAAUGAUAACGGAGAUUAGGAUGGCCCCUGUGCAAAAUUCAACCCUAUACUCCAGAUGUUUUUUCUUUACCU